AUGCUGGUGCUUCAGGCCAGGACUUUAACCCACUGCGCCACAGCACUGGGCCCCCAUGUAUUUCCUAUAUAUAGCUUUGGGAAGUUUUCAAUACCUCCCGCCCAUGCUCCCAUCCUUCCUCCUCCUCCUCCUAUUCCCAUUCCUAAUUUUUUACAAAGAUCUAUUUUCAGUUUACUUUAUACUCAGAAGAUUAACCCUACACUAAGUAAAGAGCUCAACAAACAACAUGAAGAAGAAACCAUUGUUCCUCAAAUGGUAGAGACAAGGACUGUAAACAACCAUCGAAUCUCAAAAGGUCCAUUUCAUUCCAAUAUAUUACAUUUUAGGUGCUCUGUUAGUUACCACAGAUCUGGAAAAACAUAUGGGAAGACACCCUUACCAGAAUCCAAGAGAAAGGUGACAAGAACCUGGGCCAGAGAGCACUCACUACAGAGAUACAGUUUCCUUUGGUCUUCCACGUGCCAGGACAGCACCACUGUCAUCAGUAUCAACACCACUGAGAUCCCAGCCAUCAGUGUACGUAUACUGGGUGAGUAUAUUUUUCAGAAAUCAUCUCUUUGGCUACUUCUGUUCUCACUUUCUUAA
rnacentral:lncRNA from 1 species